UCCGGUUGAUCCUGCCGGAGGCCACUGCUAUUGGGGUUCGACUAAGCCAUGCGAGUCUAUGGGCUUUGCCCAUGGCGGACGGCUCAGUAACACGUGGUUAACCUACCCUCAGGUGGGGGAUAACCUCGGGAAACUGGGGCUAAUCCCCCAUAGGUGAUGGGUGCUGGAAUGCCCCAUCUCCGAAAGCGCUUAGCGCCCGAGGAUGGGUCUGCGGCGGAUUAGGUAGUUGGUGGGGUAACGGCCCACCAAGCCUAAGAUCCGUACGGGCUGUGGAAGCAGGAGCCCGGAGAUGGACCCUGAGACAAGGGUCCAGGCCCUACGGGGCGCAGCAGGCGCGAAACCUCCGCAAUGCGGGAAACCGCGACGGGGUUAGCCGGAGUGCCCGUGCAUUGCACGGGCUGUCGGGGUGCCUAAACAGCACCCCAUAGCAAGGGCCGGGCAAGGCCGGUGGCAGCCGCCGCGGUAAGACCGGCGGCCCGAGUGGCGGCCACUCUUAUUGGGCCUAAAGCGUCCGUAGCCGGCCCAGUAAGUCCCCCGGGAAAUCUGGUCGCUUAACGAUCAGACUUCCGGGGGAUACUGCUGGGCUAGGGACCGGGAGAGGCCGAGGGUAUUCCCGGGGUAGGGGUGAAAUCCUGUAAUCCCGGGAGGACCACCUGUGGCGAAGGCGCUCGGCUGGAACGGGUCCGACGGUGAGGGA
rnacentral:rRNA from 1 species